UUCGCAGGGAGGUGUCAUUCAU
rnacentral:miRNA from 1 species